rnacentral:rRNA from 2 species
AGAGUUUGAUCAUGGCUCAGAUUGAACGCUGGCGGCAGGCCUAACACAUGCAAGUCGAGCGGUAGCACAGAGAGCUUGCUCUCGGGUGACGAGCGGCGGACGGGUGAGUAAUGUCUGGGAAACUGCCUGAUGGAGGGGGAUAACUACUGGAAACGGUAGCUAAUACCGCAUAACGUCGCAAGACCAAAGUGGGGGACCUUCGGGCCUCAUGCCAUCAGAUGUGCCCAGAUGGGAUUAGCUAGUAGGUGGGGUAACGGCUCACCUAGGCGACGAUCCCUAGCUGGUCUGAGAGGAUGACCAGCCACACUGGAACUGAGACACGGUCCAGACUCCUACGGAGGCAGCAGUGGGGAAUAUUGCACAAUGGGCGCAAGCCUGAUGCAGCCAUGCCGCGUGUGUGAAGAAGGCCUUCGGGUUGUAAAGCACUUUCAGCGGGGAGGAAGGCGGUGAGGUUAAUAACCUCAUCGAUUGACGUUACCCGCAGAAGAAGCACCGGCUAACUCCGUGCCAGCAGCCGCGGUAAUACGGAGGGUGCAAGCGUUAAUCGGAAUUACUGGGCGUAAAGCGCACGCAGGCGGUCUGUCAAGUCGGAUGUGAAAUCCCCGGGCUCAACCUGGGAACUGCAUUCGAAACUGGCAGGCUAGAGUCUUGUAGAGGGGGGUAGAAUUCCAGGUGUAGCGGUGAAAUGCGUAGAGAUCUGGAGGAAUACCGGUGGCGAAGGCGGCCCCCUGGACAAAGACUGACGCUCAGGUGCGAAAGCGUGGGGAGCAAACAGGAUUAGAUACCCUGGUAGUCCACGCUGUAAACGAUGUCGAUUUGGAGGUUGUGCCCUUGAGGCGUGGCUUCCGGAGCUAACGCGUUAAAUCGACCGCCUGGGGAGUACGGCCGCAAGGUUAAAACUCAAAUGAAUUGACGGGGGCCCGCACAAGCGGUGGAGCAUGUGGUUUAAUUCGAUGCAACGCGAAGAACCUUACCUGGUCUUGACAUCCACAGAACUUUCCAGAGAUGGAUUGGUGCCUUCGGGAACUGUGAGACAGGUGCUGCAUGGCUGUCGUCAGCUCGUGUUGUGAAAUGUUGGGUUAAGUCCCGCAACGAGCGCAACCCUUAUCCUUUGUUGCCAGCGGUCCGGCCGGGAACUCAAAGGAGACUGCCAGUGAUAAACUGGAGGAAGGUGGGGAUGACGUCAAGUCAUCAUGGCCCUUACGACCAGGGCUACACACGUGCUACAAUGGCAUAUACAAAGAGAAGCGACCUCGCGAGAGCAAGCGGACCUCAUAAAGUAUGUCGUAGUCCGGAUUGGAGUCUGCAACUCGACUCCAUGAAGUCGGAAUCGCUAGUAAUCGUAGAUCAGAAUGCUACGGUGAAUACGUUCCCGGGCCUUGUACACACCGCCCGUCACACCAUGGGAGUGGGUUGCAAAAGAAGUAGGUAGCUUAACCUUCGGGAGGGCGCUUACCACUUUGUGAUUCAUGACUGGGGUGAAGUCGUAACAAGGUAACCGUAGGGGAACCUGCGGUUGGAUCACCU